AGAGUUUGAUCAUGGCUCAGGACUAACGCUGGCGGCGUGCCUAACACAUGCAAGUCGAACGGGGUAGCAAUACCCAGUGGCAGACGGGUGAGUAACACGUGGUCAACCUACCUUUGUGUGGGGAUGAACUAGCCGAAAGGUUAGCUAAUACCGCAUACGAUCGUUUUGAGGCAUCUCUGGACGAUGAAAGGAGCAAUCCG
rnacentral:rRNA from 1 species